CUUUGGGGCUCCUCUAAAUGGGUUUUUCUCCCAUAAAAUAUUUUAUAGAUUAGCGUGUUCCAGUAGAACCCUGAUUUAUAGGGAAAGAGCAUUAAAAGUGAUAUAAAUAAUAAGCGGGUCCUCAUAUGACCGUAAAUUUAGACGGUCUCCCUCUGUAUAAUCUAUUCACGAUUCUACGUAUACAGCCAAACCGUAGAAGUAUCAUUUAUACGCAUCUUUUACAUGGAUACAUACCUCGGAUACGCACUGUGCAGAAAUUUCUCAAUUGUUUCCACACCUUUCUGAAAUUAUCUGUAGCACUCCGAGUUUCUGUAUUUAGACGGAUUGUUCCAUUAUUGGCGCGGAUCCCGGAGGAAUUACAACCAAAAUUUUGCCUCAAGACAGCAAUAAAGGUUUAUAAUUUUCUGGCCUGUAGUCUGAAGCCAUGAGUCUUUCAUGUCUAGCAUGCCAUGGUGUAAAUAGCCCAUCAGAGUCAUUUAGGAGCUAUUCAUCUUCAGGCUCAGAUGGCGAAGGUAGAUGCGGAGCAAUAGUAAACUGCUGGUCCAGGAAACCUAAUGAUUUAACUCCUGCAGAGGUUACAAACAACAACAUGAGUUCCAGGGUGGCCCCACAACCUACUGUAAGCAGUGAAAGUCCUCCUGGCAGCCCUCGCUUGGUGCGUAGUCGUGCAGUUCGAAGAGAUAAAUUCAGGGAUUGGCACAUUGGUGAGAUGACUGAGGAAGUUAGGCUCUGGGAAUAGAGGAAUCAUUUUAUUGCUUUUGGGCCAGGGCUCAAAAGGUUAUUAUGCAGACCGAUGUUGUCUCUCUGCUAUGGUCUUGUGCAUUAUGUUAGAAAAGUAAUGUCUGGUUCUAGAAGGGAAUUAUCAUGAUGUGGUGUGGGCAUGGUGUGUUAAUAAAGAUUAGGGGCACAUUAUUUAAUGGUCUCAAUAAAAGGCAAAGUUUGACUUUGCUUAGAUCUUGCUAGAGGAUCUGAGUAAGAUAUGCCUGUUUGCUUUUUAUAUCAUGUUGUAUGUCCUCGAAGCAUUCAGCUGCUUCAAAUAUGAGAUUAUCAUGCCAUUGGUCAGAAGCAAAGUCUUUGCCACGAUCUUAACUAUCUGCUGUUUGAACAUGUGUAUAAUUAAACAUUUAAUCGUGUAACUUUUUCUCUA